UGGGGAAUAUUGCACAAUGGGCGCAACCCUGAUGCAGCCAUGCCGCGUGUGUGAAGAAGGCCUUCGGGUUGUAAAGCACUUUCAGCGAGGAGGAAGGGUAGUGUGUUAAUAGCACAUUGCAUUGACGUUACUCGCAGAAGAAGCACCGGCUAACUCCGUGCCAGCAGCCGCGGUAAUACGGAGGGUGCAAGCGUUAAUCGGAAUUACUGGGCGUAAAGCGCACGCAGGCGGUUUGUUAAGUCAGAUGUGAAAUCCCCGCGCUUAACGUGGGAACUGCAUUUGAAACUGGCAAGCUAGAGUCUUGUAGAGGGGGGUAGAAUUCCAGGUGUAGCGGUGAAAUGCGUAGAGAUCUGGAGGAAUACCGGUGGCGAAGGCGGCCCCCUGGACAAAGACUGACGCUCAGGUGCGAAAGCGUGGGGAGCAAACA
rnacentral:rRNA from 1 species